CCAAAUCACGUUGUAACACCAGUUCCUGAACGAUCACCAAAGUUAAGCAACGUCGUGCCUGGUCAGUAGCUAGAUGGGUGACCGCUUGGUAAUACCAUGUACUGUAAU